rnacentral:rRNA from 1 species
AGAGUUUGAUCCUGGCUCAGGACGAACGCUGGCGGCGUGCCUAACACAUGCAAGUCGAGCGAUGAAGCCUUUCGGGGCUGAUUAGCGGCGGACGGGUGAGUAACACGUGGGUAACCUGCCUCAAAGAGGGGGAUAGCCUCCCGAAAGGGAGAUUAAUACCGCAUAACAUUAGUUUUUCGCAUGAAGAACUAAUUAAAGGAGUAAUCCGCUUUGAGAUGGACCCGCGGCGCAUUAGCUAGUUGGUGAGGUAAAGGCUCACCAAGGCGACGAUGCGUAGCCGACCUGAGAGGGUGAUCGGCCACAUUGGAACUGAGAUACGGUCCAGACUCCUACGGGAGGCAGCAGUGGGGAAUAUUGCACAAUGGGCGAAAGCCUGAUGCAGCAACGCCGCGUGAGUGAUGAAGGCCUUCGGGUUGUAAAGCUCUGUCUUUGGGGACGAUAAUGACGGUACCCAAGGAGGAAGCCACGGCUAACUACGUGCCAGCAGCCGCGGUAAUACGUAGGUGGCAAGCGUUGUCCGGAUUUACUGGGCGUAAAGGAUGCGUAGGCGGAUAUUUAAGUGAGAUGUGAAAUUCCCGGGCUUAACUUGGGAGCUGCAUUUCAAACUGGAUAUCUAGAGUGUGGGAGAGGAGAAUGGAAUUCCUAGUGUAGCGGUGAAAUGCGUAGAGAUUAGGAAGAACACCAGUGGCGAAGGCGAUUCUCUGGACCAUAACUGACGCUGAGGCAUGAAAGCGUGGGUAGCAAACAGGAUUAGAUACCCUGGUAGUCCACGCCGUAAACGAUGAGUACUAGGUGUAGGAGGGUCCAACCUUCUGUGCCG